AAAACUUUCAACAACGGAUCUCUUGGUUCUGGCAUCGAUGAAGAACGCAGCGAAACGCGAUAAGUAAUGUGAAUUGCAGAAUUUAGUGAAUCAUCAAAUCUUUGAACGCACAUUGCGCCUGCCAGUAUUCUGGCAGGCAUGCCUGUCCGAGCGUCAUUUCCACCCUCAGGCGCCUAGUGCGCCUGCUGUUGGGGCAUUCUGCGGCCUAGCCGCAGGCCUCGAAAGCAAGUGGCGGGCUGGCUAGUCGGCUCCGAGCGCAGUAAUUUUUCUUCGCUUUGGACGCCCUGGCCUGCGCCUUGCCGUAAAAGCCUUAAUUUUUUUUAGGUUGACCUCGGAUCAGGUAGGACUACCCGCUGAACUUAAGCAUAUCAAUAAGCGGAGGAAAAGAAACCAACAGGGAUUGCCCCAGUAACGGCGAGUGAAGCGGCAACAGCUCAAAUUUGAAAUCUGGCUUCGGCCCGAGUUGUAAUUUGGAGAGGAUGCUUUGGGCGCGGCGCCUUCCGAGUUCCUUGGAACAGGACGCCAGAGAGGGUGAGAGCCCCGUACGGUUGGACUCCAAGCCUAUGUAAAGCUCCUUCGACGAGUCGAGUAGUUUGGGAAUGCUGCUCAAAAUGGGAGGUAAAUUUCUUCUAAAGCUAAAUACCGGCCAGAGACCGAUAGCGCACAAGUAGAGUGAUCGAAAGAUGAAAAGCACUUUGAAAAGAGGGUUAAACAGUACGUGAAAUUGUUGAAAGGGAAGCGCCUAUGACCAGACUUGCGCCCCGCGAACCACCCGGCGUUCUCGCCGGUGCACUUCGCGGGAUGCAGGCCAGCAUCGGUUUUCUUAGGGGGAUAAAGGCCGCGGGAACGUAGCUCUUUCGGGAGUGUUAUAGCCCGUGGUGUCAUGCCCUUGAGGGGACCGAGGACCGCGCUUCGGCAAGGAUGCUGGCGUAAUGGUCAUCAGCGACCCGUCUUGAAACACGGACCAAGGAGUCAAGCAUUAGGGCGAGUGUUUGGGUGACAAACCCGCACGCGAAAUGAAAGUAAACGCAGGUGAGAGCUUCGGCGCAUCAUCGACCGAUCCUGAUGUAUUCGGAUGGAUUUGAGUAAGAGCCUUACCGCUUGGACCCGAAAGAUGGUGAACUAUGCCUGUAUAGGGUGAAGCCAGAGGAAACUCUGGUGGAGGCUCGCAGCGGUUCUGACGUGCAAAUCGAUCGUCAAAUAUGGGCAUGGGGGCGAAAGACUAAUCGAACCAUCUAGUAGCUGGUUACCGCCGAAGUUUCCCUCAGGAUAGCAGUGUUGUUUUCAGUUUUAUGAGGUAAAGCGAAUGAUUAGGGACUCGGGGGCGCUAUAUUGCCUUCAUCCAUUCUCAAACUUUAAAUAUGUAAGAAGCCCUUGUUACUUUGUUGAACGUGGGCCUUCGAAUGUAUCAACACUAGUGGGCCAUUUUUGGUAAGCAGAACUGGCGAUGCGGGAUGAACCGAACGCGGGGUUAAGGUGCCAGAGUGGACGCUCAUCAGACACCACAAAAGGCGUUAGUACAUCUUGACAGCAGGACGGUGGCCAUGGAAGUCGGAAUCCGCUAAGGACUGUGUAACAACUCACCUGCCGAAUGUACUAGCCCUGAAAAUGGAUGGCGCUCAAGCGUCCCACCCAUACCCCGCCCUCAGGGUAGAAACGAUGCCCUGAGGAGUAGGCGGCCGUGGAGGUCAGUGACGAAGCCCAGGGCGUGAGCCCGGGUCGAACGGCCUCUAGUGCAGAUCUUGGUGGUAGUAGCAAAUACUUCAAUGAGAACUUGAAGGACCGAAGUGGAGAAAGGUUCCAUGUGAACAGCGGUUGGACGUGGGUUAGUCGACCCUAAGCCAUAGGGAAGUUCCGUUUCAAAGGGGCACUCGUGCUCCGUAUGGCGAAAGGCUAGCAGGUUAAUAUUCCUGCACCUGGAUGUGGGUUUUGCGCGGCAACGCAACUGAACGCGGAGACGACGGCGGGAGCCCCGGGCAGAGUUCUCUUUUCUUCUUAACGGUCCACCACCCUGGAAACAGUUUGUCUGGAGAUAGGGUUUCAUGGCCGGAAGAGCCCAGCACCUCUGCUGGGUCCGGUGCGCUCUCGACGUCCCUUGAAAAUCCGCGGGAAGGAAUAAUUCUCGCGCCAGGUCGUACUCAUAACCGCAGCAGGUCUCCAAGGUGAACAGCCUCUGGUUGAUAGAACAAUGUAGAUAAGGGAAGUCGGCAAAAUAGAUCCGUAACUUCGGGAAAAGGAUUGGCUCUAAGGGUUGGGUGCGUUGGGCUUUUGACAGACGCAGUGGGAGCAGGAAGCCACUAGCCGGGCAACUGGCCGGAGGCAUCCAGCACCCGCUUGUUGACGUCCUUAGCAGGCUUCGGCCGUCCGGCGCACAGUUAACAACCAACUUAGAACUGGUACGGACAAGGGGAAUCUGACUGUCUAAUUAAAACAUAGCAUUGCGAUGGCCAGAAAGUGGUGUUGACGCAAUGUGAUUUCUGCCCAGUGCUCUGAAUGUCACAGUAAAGAGAUUUAACCAAGCGCGGGUAAACGGCGGGAGUAACUAUGACUCAAGUGGCAUAAGCCUCGCGGAGGCGGCGUGCGUACAGCACGGCGCGUCCUGGGGGUUCUUAAGAGGGUCAAGCGGCGUAAAAGGCGUCCGCUAGUGAGCUCAAGCUCGGGCUUGAGCCUGCGACACCGUCAAAUUGCGGGGAGUUCCUAAAGCCAGCGCUACCAAGCGGGCGCCGAAAGGCGGCCGUGGCCGGGGUAAUGACCUAGGGUAUGGUAACAACGCGCUGGAUGUGACAAUGGAUAAUCCGCAGCCAAGCCCUACAGUCUGGCCUCUUCGGAGCCAGAUACGGGUGCAGUUCAACGACUAAAUGGUGGUGGGUUUCGGUACAAAACGCGACCUGCGUACUUGUCCGGGGCUUAAGAUAUAGUCUGGCCUCUCGCGAAAGUGAGAGGGAUGUAAUG
rnacentral:rRNA from 1 species